rnacentral:rRNA from 1 species
GAUGAACGCUGGCGGCGUGCCUAAUACAUGCAAGUCGAGCGAACAGACGAGGAGCUUGCUCCUCUGACGUUAGCGGCGGACGGGUGAGUAACACGUGGAUAACCUACCUAUAAGACUGGGAUAACUUCGGGAAACCGGAGCUAAUACCGGAUAAUAUAUUGAACCGCAUGGUUCAAUAGUGAAAGACGGUUUUGCUGUCACUUAUAGAUGGAUCCGCGCCGCAUUAGCUAGUUGGUAAGGUAACGGCUUACCAAGGCAACGAUGCGUAGCCGACAUGAGAGGGUGAUCGGCCACACUGGAACUGAAACACGGUCCAGACUCCUACGGGAGGCAGCAGUAGGGAAUCUUCCGCAAUGGGCGAAAGCCUGACGGAGCAACGCCGCGUGAGUGAUGAAGGUCUUCGGAUCGUAAAACUCUGUUAUUAGGGAAGAACAAAUGUGUAAGUAACUAUGCACGUCUUGACGGUACCUAAUCAGAAAGCCACGGCUAACUACGUG